AGCAGCCGCGGUAAUUCCAGCUCCAAUAGCGUAUAUUAAAGUUGUUGCAGUUAAAAAGCUCGUAGUUGAAUUUCGGGAUCAAUUAAUUGGUCGUGCCUCUGGUACGUACUGGCAUUGUUGGUUUCUCCCUUCUGACGAACCAUGAUGUCAUUUAUUUGGUGUCGUGGGAAAUCAGGACUGUUACUUUGAAGAAAUUAGAGUGUUUAAAGCAGGCUCACGCUUGAAUACAUUAGCAUGGAAUAAUGAAAUAGGACGUUUGAUUCUAUUUUGUUGGUUUCUAGGAUCGACGUAAUGAUUAAUAGGGAUAGUUGGGGGCAUUAGUAUUCAAUUGUCAGAGGUGAAAUUCUUGGAUUUAUUGAAGACUAACUACUGCGAAAGCAUUUGCCAAGGAUGUUUUCAUUAAUCAAGAACGAAAGUUAGGGAUCGAAGACGAUCAGAUACCGUCGUAGUCUUAACCAUAAACUAUGCCGACUAGGGAUCGGAUGAUGUUAAUUUUANAAUGACUNAUUC
rnacentral:rRNA from 1 species